AAGGAGGAAAUGAGUGAAAGAAAGAAUAAUAAUGAAAAUCGAGGGAGUCCAAAUCCGCCGCCAACUUUCCUGCCGAGCCUCGCGCGACAUUAUUGGCCUUGUUUACAUCCUCACGGGCGCCGCAGACAGGACUUCCUCCUCCGUAAUUCACUCAGGUUCCUCAGGGGUCCUGUGCAUUGAUUGUGAAGCCACACCCACCACCAGCAAGAUUGUGCGAACGGCUGUUGAAUACACACUCAACAACAUUAUGAUGGAUCAGAUGUCGAGUCAUCAACAGCUGCGGGUGCUGGUCGAGCAGCUGCAACGUGAGGCAAACAUAGAACGUAUGAAAACCUCGGACGCAAUUAAUCAUCUGAAGAGGUACAUCUCAGAGCACGAGCCCGAGGACUACCUUCUCAUCGGCUUCGCCUCACAGAAGGCAAACCCCUUCCGGGAGAAGAGCUCCUGCACCGUCCUGUAAUGAGUAUGUGAGGGAACAUCAGAAGGACGACUAUCUCUGCCACCCCGCCAGGAACCCCAGGGCCAACCCUUUCCGCGAGAAGACCCUCUGUCAGAUCAUUUAACCCAACGCACUGUGCUAAUUUUAUUGACAAGUGACUUUUAAUCUUAGUUAGUCAUGUUUUUGUUUUAAUGAUGUGAAAAACUUAUGAGAUAUAUAAGGUUUUAUUACCUUAUUUUAUUCUAAUAACAUUGGGUGUUUCAUAGUCAUAUCUAUAUCAUAUUGAAAGUUUGUCUUAUUUUAUUAACAAAGACUUCUGUAAGAAUUUAACUUUGUGAUAUUUCUUGAGUUGUGGUGUGGUAAAGUUUAAAACUGACUGUAGUGGUUUAUGUAAGUGCAAAUAACUUGGUUGUGGUUUGUGAUGUGCUUUCAGGCUUUGAAAACACUAAGUUCUUUAAUUUAUGCCCUUUCCAGUACUCAGCCUCCAACAGUGGUGUUGCAAAAAUUGGGUGUAACUAUGAAUGAUAUAUGGAAAUUAAGUUUUCAAUUUUAUGGAAUUUAUUCUGUUACCAUGGUUAAGAAUGGAAAGAAGAAUAUGGUUCCACUCUACUUUUCUCUACUUCCUUCCUUAGUUGUAUGAGACUCCAUGUUCUCUGGAAGUGUACUUUGUUUGCUCCUCACUUUUGUGCUAUUCCCUUUCUUCAUAUAUGUAUUCAUUACUUGUGAAUUUUCACAGCAACCACUUGUUUGAAAUUACUGGUCUUGGGGCAGUAGUCUGCUUGGUGUUCAGUCACAGUGUUACCGAACACUAAUGCACAAACAAACUGGCUGACAAACACAAACCAUAACGUCAGUAUUGCCAUCACCACCAGCAGAGGGAAGGUGUGAGGAAUCGUCGCUUCGCUCAAGGUUAGGAUAUCUGUUACGGUAUAAAUUUAAUAUAUAAAAGAUUGUUGUCACACUAUUAAUAAUACAGCUCUAUAGUUUUCAACUUGUUUAAUGUAGCAGAAGCAUAGAAUAUAAAUCUACACAUUAAUAUUUAUUACUUGUACUAUUACCAUGUAGUUGAUAUUACGGCGUAGUUGUUUCUAAUCAAAUGGCUGCUAAGGGGACAGUUCUUGGUGUUUUCUCACUGUAGGCAGGACUAGUUUGCAUGUUCGUAAUCUCAAGUAAAUGAUGGACUAAAAUUGUCUGGAAAUUAGUUGCAGAGUGAUAUACAUACAUAUAUUUAGUGUAGUGUGACAAACUCAUUGGGGGAAGGUCAUCUCUUGUGGGGUAAUGAUAAUGAUCAUGUUAAUGUUGUAACAAUAAUAACAAUAAAAAUUAUAGUAAUAGCAACAAUAAAAACAUGAUUUAGACAGAUGACAAGCAUGCACUUUUGUGAGUAUAAUAUAUGUGUGCAAUAGAGAAGCCUCAUAUCAAUGAGUAUGCUAUUAUACUAUUAUUGUAGUAUGAGAAAGUUAUUUCCAUGUAUUGUACUCUUAGUAAUGAAAUGGAAAGGACAUCUAGAUACAUUUUGAAGUAGGUAAAUCUAGUAGAUGAAUGAAUCACAGGUAUUAUUGCAUCUUACAGAAAUUUAGGACAAGAUGCCAUCAGUAAUUUCUUUCAUUGUAAUCCAGAGUACAGAAUUGUCCCAUCCACAAUGAGAAGGCACCACAGACUUACCCUAACCCAACUUGGGCAGGAAGAUAAGUACAUAAGUAAUAUGUUGUUUUCCUUGACACGUUGUCCGUUGUUAUUGGCAGCCAUACCUCGCCUCACUGCCAACGCAUUUCUUCACUUCCACACACAGCUUGAGUUUCUGGCAGGCAGCAGCUUGAAGGUGUUGUCAUGCACCCACCUCUUUCCAGUACUUACUCUUACUUAUUUAUGUUGCCAUCCAGUCAUUGUAUAUUUCAUAUUCCAUUCCCUGAGAACUUGGCCUUCAAUAACCAGAAGCAAAGACUCUGCCAUGGUGAUUUUUUUUUAAUUUCCUCUGCAUCAAAGUUUGUUUAAGGCAGCUUUUAGAGCAUUAAAUAAAUCAAUAAGAUGACAUCCAUUAUAAUUGAGUAUAUUCAGAACAGUCUUGAAACAUAAUAAUCCUUUUUUAGAUAACAUAACUAAAAUAUUGAAGUUACUAAAAUGUUCAUGUCACAGUCAAAUAAAUUUAUGAUGAUAUUUAAAUGGACUAACAUGGUACUGAAGAUGGUUUACUGCCUUUUGAGAAUUGACAAAAUUCACUCAAUUCUUAGAUCUUACAGUGUUGCCUUAACUAUAAACCUCCAUGGAAAUUAUUUUGGAGGAAUCUACACACAUUCAUAAUUAUUAUUGUCAAGUGUUAUGUUUUUGCAGCUAAACUCAUCAGACCCUUUUGUCAUUUAUCCAUCUCUGUAUUUGUUGCAGUUCAUCAUCCACUCUGGCUCCAUUCACUAACUUAAAAUAGGAGUUUAGUGUCUAUUUGAUCAAUUUAUUAACAAGUUUACUCCCUUAUGAUGUAUGUUUUGCAUGUGUGGAAAGUUUUAUCUUGUAAGUCUGGCAAAUGGAACUGAAAAAGAUGUUGGCCUAGACAAGACUGUGUUGGUAAUUGGAAUAAAAGCUUUUAAGUGUUUUGAAAUGUUUUCACAAAUUUAUUAGGAUUAAGAAUCAGUACUUGACUCAGAUUUAACACCAUGUGACUGUAUACCUAAACCCAAAAGUUGGCUUUACAGAAUUUAAUUGGAUGGUGAUAGCAUCAAGAUCUUGUUUUUAGGAUGGCAGCUGUAAUAUUCCUGCAGUGGUGUAUACCAGAGUAUCAGUAAACAGUCGCUGGUAA